rnacentral:rRNA from 1 species
UUGGUUAAGUUAUUAAGGGCGCACGGCGAAUGCCUUGGCACUAGGAGCCGAUGAAGGACGGCACUAACACCGAUAUGCUUCGGGGAGCUGUAAGUGAGCUUUGAUCCGGAGAUUUCCGAAUGGGGGAACCCACUACGUUUAAUCGCGUAGUAUCUUGACGUGAAUACAUAGCGUCUUGAUGGCAGACCCAGGG